rnacentral:sRNA from 1 species
CUAGUCCAGUUUGGACCUGCGGGUGAAGCUUGAUGCUUCCACCUUAAUCCUGUGAUCCGCAGUAGAUAAAAGCGGCUUCACCCUGUUGCCUUCUCCUCUAGUGUGGUCCUCUCUUCCAUAGUCGUUCCUUCAGAGGUUUCAUCAUUCACCUUAUCGACAACGAAUAGCUCAGCAUUGCCUUCAUGGAUAUUUUCUUCAGAGGCUUCACCAAUCUUCUUAUAGACAAUGACUUCAUCCGGUUGGUAUUCAUUGCUUCGUAGAUCAGGAUAGUUUCUCUGGUUCAGAGAAUGCAACCAAAUCGCCACAGCUCCAUCUUUUUCUUCAGCAGAG